rfam:Felis catus isolate Cinnamon breed Abyssinian chromosome B2, whole genome shotgun sequence.
CAAAAGGCCCUUCUCAGGGCUCCCCCCACUCUCACAGAGGAGCCGU